UACAUGGGGUGCAAACGUUGCUCGGAAUUAUUGGGCGUAAAGCGCACGUAGGCGGUUCGUUAAGUCGGAUGUGAAAGCCCUCGGCUCAACUGAGGAAGUGCACCCGAAACUGGCGAGCUUGAGUACGAAAGAGGAUCGCGGAAUUCCCGGUGUAGAGGUGAAAUUCGUAGAUAUCGGGAGGAACACCGGUGGCGAAGGCGGGUCUCUGGACAGUUCCUGACACUGAGGCACGAAGGCCAGGGGAGCAAACGGG
rnacentral:rRNA from 1 species